UACGGAGGGAGCUAGCGUUGUUCGGAAUUACUGGGCGUAAAGCGCACGUAGGCGGCCUUGUAAGUUAGAGGUGAAAGCCCGGAGCUCAACUCCGGAACUGCCUUUAAGACUGCAUCGCUUGAAUCCAGGAGAGGUGAGUGGAAUUCCGAGUGUAGAGGUGAAAUUCGUAGAUAUUCGGAAGAACACCAGUGGCGAAGGCGGCUCACUGGACUGGUAUUGACGCUGAGGUGCGAAAGCGUGGGGAGCAAACAGG
rnacentral:rRNA from 1 species